rnacentral:lncRNA from 1 species
CUUCUGAAAUAUGGAAUGUGAGAAAUCUUAGGCCACUCUGUGCCGCUGUCCCUGCUGCAUCUUUCCUCUAAAAGGGGAUGACAUCCAUAAAUCCUUGGAGAUUGUAAGUUGGUGAGGCGUUGCAUAGCUUGGACACUUGGUAAAUUCAUCAGAUUCUUGCAAUCCCAAAUCCACAGCUCUUAAGGGAUGUAAGGCUACCCAACCAUUCUGGUAAAGUCUCCACUCCGUCAAUGCAGAAGUUGGAGCCAUGUGGAGUCGUUGUACAUACAACUGGAAUAAAAGUAAUCUUGGAGAACUGUGGCCUUGCACACCAUGAAAUUUGGUAAGGUGCUGCCUACCAUCGAUUCAACUGCUGUGUGACUUAAAAAGGAGAAGGAUAAACAAAUUUUGUUAUAGUACGUGCUUUGAAUUUUUGUGUAGUAAUAGUGGAGACACAGAAUAAAAAAACAAAAGAGAUAAACCUAUAACGUGAGCUCUGUAAUUUGAUUUCAAUAAUUUUAAAACAUACUUAGGAUAAGUGGAAUGUGAGAAAUCUUAGGUCAAUCUGUGCCAUUGUCCCUGGUGCAUCUUUGCUUUAGAAGGGGAUGACAUUCAUAAAUAGUCAGAGUAUGUAAGUUGGCUCGGCGUUGCAUAGCUUGGACACUAGGUAAAUUCAUCAGAUUCUUGCAAUCUUGAAUGUCCAUCUCUGUAAAGUAUGUAAGGUUACCCAACCAUUCUGGCAAUGUCUCCACUCUGUCAAAUUGAUAUAUCACCAAAAAUGUUAGAAGUGAGGUGUUGAAUUUGUUGAGGCGGAGACUUGAGCUUAGGCCAACCAUACAAGGCUAAAAAUCAGGGAAGGAAUCGAGCUCCUCCCAGAACCGACCGAUUUCCAAAUGAUGGAGAGAAUGGAGGCUGUCUAAACUUGGAAGACUCUCUAAAUUCGGGAUGUCUCUUAUUGUCAGCGCCUCAAACGAGAGUGGGAAUUGCAGGCUUGAAAAUUAUCUUGAGUAAUUGAAGAUUCUUUUACCUAAUUUUUGCAAUAACAGGGUAUUUGACAUUUCAUCAAGUUAGUCAAGGGAUAUGAAAUAGAGAUAAAUAAAUCAACCAAAUUCAAAUCACUGUUUAUACGAUUUGAACACUGUUCAUAAAUCACAAGUCGGUCGUACCCAGUGCACAAGGCUCCCGCUUUACGCAUGGUCUGGGAGAGGUGAAUGUCGGCUAGCCUUACCCCCAUUUAUGGAGAGGCUGCUCCCAAGUCUCGAACCCGAGACCUACCGCUCAUGGGCGAAGGCACUUGCCAUCGCACCACUUGUUCAUAAAUCACAAGUAACCAUAAAAAUAUCAGUCCAAAAUCUUCAUAAGGAUAACAAUAACAAACAGAAAGUAAUUGCAGUAGUUCUAAAUAUUAUAUGAACAUGGUUUUACAUGAUGACAAUUCUUGGCAUUACUCAUCUAACACUACUUGGGUGCUGGCAGUGUGUGAUUAAACAAGAUUCAAUACCAUGAUGGGUGAUCAAGCUAGUGGUUCAGCACUCCACUCAUACAGAUGAACUAAAGAAAGUUAAAAUAUUGAUUGAUGUUGCCGGCAUUAAGAAAGAUAACAUGUAAAGGAGAAUGCCCAAGGACUAUAAAAAGAGGUAUAUUAUUGAGAAAUGAAGGUAGAGCGAGAGAAUUAAUAUUGUGUGCAUCAGUACCUGGAGUCAGUUUAUAGCUAUUGAGCAUCAUGAAAAACGCCACAGCAUAGCAAAAGAAAUAUAGAUGGCACUGGGAAACACACAACAUAUAUAGUAAGUCAGAAGUCAACAGUAGAAUGUAUUGAUCAAUUAGAAGUAGAAGAGAAGAGGAGAUGUGGGUUUGAAAAUCUUACAUGACUUAAUUUCAAUGCAAAAGUUUGAGCCAUUUGGAGUCGUUUGUACAUAAAACUGGAAUACAAGUAAUCUCGGAGAACUGUGGCCUUGCACAUCAUGAAAUUUGAUUUUCCCAAUACACAUUUGUUGUAGUAUCGCAAGGCAUUGCAUAGCUUCAAUCCAACUGUUGUCUCAGAAGUCUCAGCCCCAAACUGAUUUAAAAGAAGAGGGAGAAGGACAAACAAAUUAUGUUAUACUAGUUUAAAUUUGAGUGUAGUACUAGUGGAGACAUGGAAUAAAAGAAGCAAAGAGAUAAACAUAUAACGUCAGCUUUGUUAUUUGAUUUCAAUAAUUUAAAAACUUACUGUCGAUUUUUGGAAUGUGAGAAAUCUUAGGCCAAUCUGUGUCGUUGUCCCUGCUGCAUCUUUCUUCUAAAAGGGGAUGACAAAUCCAAAUCUCUAGGAAUUGUAAUUUGAUCAGACCACAACUGAUCAUUUAAAAGAAAAGGGAGAAGGAUAAACAAAUUACGUUAUACUAGUUUAAAUUUCAGUGUAGUACUAGUGGAGACACGGAAGAAAAGAACAAAGGAUAUAAACAUAUAACGUCAGCUCUGUUACUUGAUUUCAAUAAUUUAAAAAACUUACUUGUGAUAUCUGGAAUGUGAGAAAUCUUAGGCCAAUCUGUGCCGCUGUUCCUCAUGCAUCUUUGCUUUAGAAGAGGAUGGCAUCCAGAAAUAUACAGAGUUUGUAAUUUGGUGAGGCGUUGCAUAGCUUGGAAUCUUGGUAAAUUCCUCAGAUUCUCGCAAGACCAAAUCGUCAGCUCUGUAAGGAAUGUAAGGCUACCCAACCAUUCUGGCAAAGUCUCCACUCCGUCAAAUGAACAUAUCUCCAAAUGUGUUAGAGAAGUGAGGUGUUGAAUUUGUUGAGGCAGAGACUUGAGCUUAGGCCAACCCCACAACACUAAACUUGUAAGAUUCAUUAAUGAUGCAACUUGAAAAUCAGG